rnacentral:rRNA from 1 species
AGCGAACGCUGGCGGCAGGCCUAACACAUGCAAGUCGAACGGAUCCAUCGGGAUUUGUGGCGGACGGGGGAGUAACACGUGGGAACGGGCCCUUUUGUUCGGAACACCUCAGGGACACUUGAGCUAAUACCGGAUGGGCCCUUCUGGGGAAAGAUUUAUCGCGAUUGGAGCGGCCCGCGUCUGAUUAGCUUGUUGGUGAGGUAACGGCCCACCACGGCGACGAUCAGUAGCUGGUCUGAGAGGAUGAUCACCCACACUGGGACUGAGACGCGGCCCAGAAUCCUACGGGAGGGAGGAGUGGGGGAUCGAGCGCAAUGGGCGGAAGGCUGACGCAGCCAGGCUGCGUGAAUGAUGAAGGUCUUAAGAUUGUAAAAUUCUUUCAGCGGGGACGAUAAUGACGGUACCCGCAGAAGAAGCUCCGGCUAACUUCGUG